UACGUAGGGUGCGAGCGUUGUCCGGAAUUAUUGGGCGUAAAGGGCUCGUAGGCGGUUUGUCGCGUCGGGAGUGAAAUCCACUGGCUUAACUGGUGGCUUGCUUUCGAUACGGGCAGACUGGAGGUAUGCAGGGGAGAACGGAAUUCCUGGUGUAGCGGUGAAAUGCGGCAGAUAUCAGGAGGAACACCGGUGGCGAAGGCGGUUCUCUGGGCAUGUCCUGACGCUGAGGAGCGAA
rnacentral:rRNA from 1 species